ACCAAGCGCACAAUAACAACCUCCUUAACAAGUCAUUUAUGUCCUAUAUACUUCUUGCGCAGUUGGCAACCUCCUCCCACAAUUCCUGUUUCCUCGAACACCAACCACAACAACGCUAGUCUCAGCAAAAUCAAAAGAUUUUGAGGACUUCAAUUUGGAACUAAAGACAAAUUCUGUAUCAUGAAAUAUAAGAGAGGAAGUAUAGUGGAGGUAUCGGUCAAGGACAAGCUUUGUUACCAGUCUUGGCGUUGUGCGCAGAUAGUUUCUGGCAAUGGGGGCAAUUACACUGUCAGUUAUGAUGUGUAUCCUGGUUUUACUGACGAGGCGGAUGUGGAACGCAUAUCUGUGAAAUAUAUUAGACCAUGUCCUCCUCUGUUGGAAAAUUCGGAACAUUGGGUUCCUGGUGAUGUGGUGGAGGUGUUUCACAAUCUUUCAUGGAAGAUGGCAAUUGUUUUGAAGGAUUUCGGUUGGGACCAGUUUCAGGUCAGAUUAGUUGGAUCUUUCAAAGAGUUGGAAGUAAGCAAAUCAGAACUCCGUGUGAGGCAAGCAUGUCAAAAUGGUGAAUGGACUGUGAUUGGCAAGGUUCCUAGAGAUUAUAAAGAUCCAAAUUGCAACAAGCUUUUGGUGUAUGAUCAAGAUUCAGGUUUCCUAACUAAGCAAAGGGAAGCAGAAGGAGAUUUUUACAUUAAAGAUCUUUGCUUUGAUCCUCAGAUUGACAACCAUUUGGAGUCACAUAUUGUUUCCUCUAAAACCCUAAAGCGAGUGUCACCCUAUGGUCAUUCUCAAGGCAAGACGAAUCAAGGAGGUGCCCAGAAAUUCAGAAUGUCUGAAAAAGAGGGCACACGUGUCCGAGUGCUGGUAAAAUCACCUGAAAAGGUAGAUGCUAUUGCUAAUAGUAGAGAAAUGCUUUGUGAAAAAGACCUGCACAUUGCGAAGGAAAAUAUAAAUGGAACCUUUGGAUCUUCGCGUGCUUUAACAUUAGAACUUAACGAUGCUGACAGUGUCAUGAGUUCCAGUGGUAGUUGUAGCAUUAAUAGCUAUUGUGGAUCAGGUCCUGUUGAAGAAAUUGAAGGUCAUGAUAGUGAUGCAGAGUCUGUUUGUCAACUGGGAUAUCAAGAAAAGAUUGAUCAAUCUCCCACCAACUCAGCAUUGUCGGAUGAAAUCCAUAGACUAGAGUUGCAUGCCUACCGUUGCACUCCUACCGUUGCACUAUGGAGGCAUUACAUGCAUCCGGACCCUUAAGUUGGGAAAAAGAAACAAUGGUAACUAAUCUUCGUAUGUCGCUCCAUAUAUCAAAUGAUGAGCAUUUGAGUGAGCUAAAAAACUUGAUUUCUGCAGCUCGUAAUAGAUGACAGCCAAACCUGGAAGGAAUGGCAGUUUUCAUUCUUUUCUUCCUUCUCUUGGGCCAAAGUAAGAGGCUUGUACACCUGGCUUCUGCAUCAGUAAGUUGAUGCCCGGGUGUGCAACCUAUUCUAUCGAUGCGGGAUAAUCUGACACGUGCAGAAUCAGUUCUGCUAUAUGAUCCAGUAUUUUGUCACAGCCUCACAGGUUCAUAUCUGUUAUAUCUGUAAGUCUCAAAUUUAUUUUCUUGAAAGAUGCAGGGUUAAGAUCUCGCAGCUACUGCAUGACUCCCAGGUAUGGGAAGGGGUUUCCUUUAGCUUGGCUUAUUCGUAAACUUUCAGUUUUUACUUGGCAUUGUGUUAUCUUGCUUAUCAGUAAGUGCCUUCAAAAUUAGGGUCCUUUGGAUAAAUGACCUUAAACGAGUUUUCCAGUUAAGAGCAUGACCUAAUUUUUUUUGCUCAAUGUAUGUGACUUGUCCCUGGUUAAAAACAGCCUGCUCCCGUAAAAACUUAGAAAUACCCUACUACGAAUAUAGUUUUCUAGAAGGUCAUUCAGCUAAAUCGCCCCUUCAAGUUAUUAAUCUUUACAUUCGUCAUGUUCAUUACGUAAAUCAUCUGCGGAGAGUAAUAUGAUUCUGUAAGGCGGCUGAACUUGUUGGUCUUGGGCUUCUUGCCAAAACCUCAAGUGUACGCCGUGCUUGUUUAGUCUCGGUUUGAAGAGGCCAUUUGAAAAUCAGAAUCAAAAUUCAAACCCUAAAUAGGAGUUAUGAGUACACCAUAUUUAAAGGAUAAUAAUGAGAACGUUGGGCUUGGUUGGCAACCAUAAACAAGCUUAUAAAGUGGCUUUUCGAAGAUGGGGAGGCGUUGAAUAACCUCACAGUUUUCUUUUAAAUUGACCUUCUGCAAGUUUUAGAAUGCCACUUCCUUAUGCAAGCAUGCCGGAAGGUUAUGCUUAAUGAGCUUAAUGGUUUGGGUGGCUUAUUCGCUCAGCCAUACAAGAGCUUUUCUUUACGGGUUAAUCGUUAAGCUAUUAAGCCAAAAUGGCUACAUGGAAUAAACCAGGACCCAACACUUGUCCCAGUUAAGCAGUACUCUUUUAGGUUCAUAUAAACCCUCCAACUUGUCCAGCUAAUAGGGGUUGUUUAAUUACAGCUUAAAGAGCUUAAUUGUCUGGGCAACUUAUUCGCUCAGCCAUACAAGAGUGUUUCUUUAUGGCUUAAUUGGUAAGCUAUUAAGCCAAAAAUGGGCAUAUGGAAAAAUCCAAGACACCUCACUUGUCCCUAUUAGCCAUCUCAAACAAAUUAUAGUAGAAAUGCCUCGUAAAUAAUCCAACCCGCCCUCUUUGCCUCCCUCAAACCUAGCGGAAUCCGUCCUUCAGACAAAUAACUUAAUUCAUACAUGACUUAAUGGAAGAAAUAAACGUAAACAACCUUCAGCAUAAACCAUAAUAAGCUCGGCUCUGAUCAGUUUGGUCUGUGCUCGUCAUAGGCUCGUGUACACCUAACACCUCUUUGUUGGAUGCAAUAGAUGAAAAACAUAUGGAGCUUUUUAGAUCGAGUAACGUAAUAUUUGAUAUUUUAUAAAAAAAUUAUACGGUUACUGAAGUCGGGCAUUAAUUGUUAUACGUCUUUUAGAUUUCAUUCAAUUAUGUUGAUUUGGGUUACUUUUGAUAAGUUAUGUGAGGCGCAGGCAUGAUCAUGAGCAUGAUUUGCUUGAACAAUGCAGGGUCUGAAUCGAACAGAAGAUCAACUCAAUGAUGAGUGAUCCAUGGUAAUAAUCCAAUACCUAACAUUCAUGUUUUUUUUGUUUUCUGUAAUUUUUUUAAUGUAAAUGAUGUUUUUUAUCUCCAAUUAUGACAAAACCA